CCCUUAGAUGUUCUGGGCCGCACGCGCGCUACACUGAUGCAUUCAACGAGUCUAAAACCUGCUCUGAUAGGGGUGGGUAAUCUUUUGAAUGUGCAUCGUGAUUGGGAUAGAUGAUUGCAAUUUUUCAUCUUCAACGAGGAAUGCCUAGUAAACGCAAGUCAUCAGCUUGCAUUGAUUACGUCCCUGCCCUUUGUACACACCGCCCGUCGCUCCUACCGAUUGAAUGAUCCGAUGAAUAUCAUGGAUUGAUGAUUAUAGCAGGUUCGCCUGUCUUGAUCUUCGAGAAGUGAAGUAAAUCUUAUCAUUUAGAGGAAGGAGAAGUCGUAACA
rnacentral:rRNA from 1 species